rnacentral:rRNA from 1 species
UACGGGGGGGGUAAGCGUUGUUCGGAAUUACUGGGCGUAAAGGGCUCAUAGGCGGCCAACUAAGUCAUACGUGAAAUCCCUCAGCUUAACUGGGGAACUGCGUGUGAUACUGGAUGGCUUGGAUUUGGGAGAGGGAUGCGGAAUUCCAGGUGUAGCGGUGAAAUGCGUAGAUAUCUGGAGGAAUACCGGUGGCGAAGGCGGCAUCCUGGACCGGCAUUGACGCUGAGGAGCGAAAGCUAGGGGAGCAAACGGG